rnacentral:sRNA from 1 species
UGGAAACGAGAAUAAAGCGUGAAGGAUAACGUUGCGUCAGCAACGGCCCGUAGGGCGAGGCGAAGCCGAGUCAUCCUGCACAACCCACCA